rnacentral:rRNA from 1 species
UACGAAGGGAGCUAGCGUUGUUCGGAAUCACUGGGCGUAAAGCGCACGUAGGCGGAUGUGUCAGUCAGGGGUGAAAUCCCGGGGGCUCAACCUCGGAACUGCCUUUGAUACAGCACGUCUUGAGUCCGAUAGAGGUGGGUGGAAUUCCUAGUGUAGAGGUGAAAUUCGUAGAUAUUAGGAAGAACACCGGUGGCGAAGGCGGCCCACUGGAUCGGUACUGACGCUGAGGUGCGAAAGCGUGGGGAGCAAACAGG